AUCCCUAGUAGCGGCGAGCGAAGCGGGAAGAGCUCAAAUUUAUAAUCUGGCACCUUCGGUGUCCGAGUUGUAAUCUCUAGAAGUGUUUUCCGCGUUGGACCGCACACAAGUCUGUUGGAAUACAGCGGCAUAGUGGUGAAACCCCCGUAUAUGGUGCGGACGCCCAGCGCUUUGUGAUACACUUUCAAUGAGUCGAGUUGUUUGGGAAUGCAGCUCAAAUUGGGUGGUAAAUUCCAUCUAAAGCUAAAUAUUGGCGAGAGACCGAUAGCGAACAAGUACCGUGAGGGAAAGAUGAAAAGCACUUUGGAAAGAGAGUUAACAGUACGUGAAAUUGUUGGAAGGGAAACGCUUGAAGUCAGACUUGCUUGCCGGAGCUUGCUUCGGUUUGCAGGCCAGCAUCAGUUUUCCGGGGUGGAUAAUGACGGUUUGAAGGUAGCAGUCUCGGCUGUGUUAUAGCUUUCCGUUGGAUACAUCCUGGGGGACUGAGGAACGCAGCGUGCUUUUUGCGAAAGACUCGUCUUUUUCACGCUUAGGAUGCUGGUGGAAUGGCUUUAAACGACCCGUCUUGAAACCACGGACCAC
rnacentral:rRNA from 1 species